GCUACUACCGAUUGAAUGGUUUAGCGAGAUGCUCGGAUCGGGACCAGCUCGUGCGAAAGCAUGUGCCGGGACUGAGAAGAAGUUCAAGCUUGAUCAUUUAGAGGAAGUAAAAGUCGUAACAAGGUUUUCGUAGGUGAACCUGCAGAAGGAUCAAGAUCGGUAUAGCGUCUUGUAUUGAUUGCGUGUAGAUCUCGGUUGUCGCCGUAUCUUUAAAUAUAUCAUUUCUUCCCCCUUUUCUCUCCUCCUUCUUCCCCCUCCUCUUUUUCCUCUCUUCCCU
rnacentral:misc_RNA from 1 species